rnacentral:snRNA from 1 species
GGAUGUGAGGGCGAUCUGGCCAUGACAUCUGUCACCCCAUUGAUCUCCAGGGUUUAUCUGGCUGAUCUGGCUGGCUUGGCGGGUGUCCCCUUCCUCCCUCAACACUCCACGUGCAUCCCUCCUGAAGCUGCACACUCAGUCAAAGAAGACAACCUUCCCUGAUAGAGGAGGACAGAGGAUGGGUCUCAAACCAAAUGGCCUGUGUUUGAAUCUUAGCUCUACAGUUUCCUAGUUAUAUGACAAUUCAGCAAGUUAGUUAGUUAACUUUUGAGUUUGAGUGUCUCAAUUUCCUCAUCUGU